rnacentral:lncRNA from 1 species
AAGGUAAAUUACGGACGAGGUCCUAUGUCUCUGAGUUGACUGAGGUUAAAGCUGGUCCCUAGUCUCUGAGUUGACUGAGGUGAAAGAACAUUUAACUGGAGAGCUGGAGGAGAUGCGAGUGGUUGUGGCUACUAUGGAUGCUGAAAUCUCACAUCAAGAUACAUCAGCUAUCUUCUGAGGGACCUGGUACCUCAGAUGAUCUGAAGGCUAAAAAUGAAGGGUUAAAGGCCCAAGCUUCUAUACUCACUGUUGAGGUUAAGGGUCUUACUAAUGAAGUAAAGAACUUCACAAAGUAGCUCCAUAAUGUCCAUGCUACUGGAAGUGCUAGUAUGGACAGGCCCCUCAAUUUGCUUGCCCCCAAACCUCCAUUCUCGUAAGCCCCGUUAUUGUUCUUACCUAAUUCUUUUCCUUCUUCCUAUCCAUUGUAUCUCUCUGGCACAUAACGGUGACUUAAGUAUUUUUAAUUUAUGUGAUGUGUAUGGUACUGUCUUCCCAUUUUAAUGAAGUAGUCUUUUUAUGUCUACUGUCUAAUCUCUUCUGAUUGGCCUGUUCAUUCGUGUCAAUUUAGCCUCUUGGGCUAACUUCCUUUUCUUUAGUUGAAUCUUCUGAUGAUCAUGGGCUAACAGAAAGUCUCUUCAGUUAUACCUUUCGUUUGAUAUUCUCUACACACACUCACUCAUGUCAUGUUGACACAACUGCAACACCGAAAAUAAAAAAAAUUGAGCAACUUAGGCGAAGAUUAAUCAACACUUUUCACAAGUUGAUGCAACUUCACUUAUAUAUUCCGUAACAUAAUGUAUGCCUAGGGCGAUGAAUUAUGCUUCUCUUCUUCACUCAAAGAGGUAAUUAUAAUAUGCCGUUUGUUUGAAUAGUACUACAUUUAUGAGAAUAAUUUUAAUGAAAACUAGUAUUGUACCCGCGCGUUGCGUGGAAUAUUAAGAAAUUAUAAUAAUGAGUAAAUGCACUAUUUUCAUCUUGAACUAUAAACGAAAUUGCUGAGACAUACCCAAACUUAGGAGGGUCCUAUUACCACUGGACUAAUUAAAAUCGUAUUUUUUACAACCUUAGUGCUUAUACGCAUACAUGGCACAUCAGUGAAUUAAAACACUGAAGGUCUACGUAGGCACAUUUAUGUUCUACAUAUGUGUCACGUAGGCACUAAGAUUGCAAAAAAUUCGAUUUUAAUUAGUCCAGUGGGUAAUAGGACCCUCCUAAAGUUCGGGUGUGUCUCAGCAAUUUCGUUUAUAGUUUAAGGUGAAAACAGAGAAUUUUCUCUAUAAUAAAUGCAAAUAUUUACGUGACUUACUUAAAUAAUAACUUAUAUUCGUUGUAAAAAGAAUUCAAUUGAUAUCAUUCUUUUCAAUGUAGUGUACUUAGUAAAAAAAAAAUCAUAUGUUAGACCAAAGGAAAUUAUUAAAUAAUUUUCAAAUGUCAUUACUGAAUAGUUUAAACUUAAGUGAGUGAACAGAGAAUAAUUUCUCGAGAAAUAAAAAA